rnacentral:rRNA from 1 species
AACCGACCUGGCUCACACCGGUUUAAACUCAGAUCAUGUAAAAUAUAAAAGGUCGAACAGACCUAAUCUGUUAGCUUCUGCACCAACAAUUUCUUUUAAUCCAACAUCGAGGUCGCAAUCUUUUCUUUCGAUUUGAACUCUCAAGAAAAAUUACGCUGUUAUCCCUAAGGUAAUUUAAUCUUUCAAUCUUUAUUUAAGGAUCAUUUAUUCACAAAUCAAUGUUCUUAUUAAAAAAAAGUUUUUUUAAUUUUUUAAUCACCCCAACCAAAUAAUUAUCAAAAUAAAUAAAAUUUAAUUCCAAAACUCUAUUAACUUAGACAAUUAUAAAACUCUAUAGGGUCUUCUCGUCUUCAAUUUUUAUUUAAGCUUUUUUACUUAAAAAUAAAAUUCUAAAAAAUUUAAACAGAGACAGUAACUUUCUUAUCAAACCCUUCAUACAAGCUCUCAAUUAAAAAACUAUUGAUUAUGCUACCUUUGCACGGUCAAAAUACCGCGGCCAUUAAAGUUUCCCUCAUUGGGCAGGCCAGACUUAAAAUUAUUAUCAAUAAGCCAUGUUUUUAAUAAACAGGC